rnacentral:lncRNA from 1 species
AAAAAAAGACAGAGUUUGUAAAAGUAUUUUUACACACACUUCCUUUUUUUGAAUUUCCUUCACGUUCUCUUCCUGAACUUGAAGCAGAACACCACUGAAGCGUCAGAAAUAAGUAUCUACAAAUAACUGAUACGCAGUCUUCUUUAUACAGGGGAUGGUGUCAGUAGCAGUUCAUAACUGAUACCACGUAGCACUUCUGUUAACUGAAAACUGCCCCUCUCUGGGUGGAUGCCUGUAGCUUGGUUUAAUCCUCAUGCUGUUUUAGGCAAAGCAGAGCAUCUGAAAACGAAUGCCUGUUCUGUUUGAAUACAGAAGUUUCACGAUAAAGUUCAGGUGACUACAGACAUAUCUGCCUUUCUUUACAGUGGAGCAAGGAGAUGACAGCAUGUCGUUAACGUGCAAUGCGACUAAAAGCUCUGUCCAUCUGAACAGUUGCACAUUCCAGAUUCUCCACUGCAGAUUCCAUCCUGUUGUGGUGCUUCAGCCACUGUCAUUAUGCCUUAUCACACUGCUGUGAGGUGCUCUGUCAGAUCAAAUACAACCGAUGCAAUUCAGGAAUUGCAAAGAACUUUUUAUCCUGUUCUGUGCAAAGGACCCAGUGGGACUACCAUGAAGGCUUUGUAACUAAGAAAGGGAGGCUCAACUGCCUCACUCAGAUAUGCAUAUCCUACGUACCUGCAUUUAGCUUUAAGAGUUCUGUAUACCAAAUGUAUAUUUGGUUAUGUAUACCAAAACAUAAUGAUGAUUUGCACCUUGUACCUAUGAUAAAGGUACUUUUAAAUACUAAAAGAAAACCACACCUGAGUUGAAAUGGAGGUUCAAGUGCUGAACACAUACAUUAAUAGUUAAAUAAACAUGUUUAAACGGAUACAAUAACUUGAAUAUUAAAAAAACCAAACAUGACAAGUUCAUCCUAUGCGUGAACUGCAGUGAGGAAAUAUAGCCACACUUGAGACAAAGUUCUAACAAGCCAAUGAAACAUUAUUUGUCAGUGGAAAAUUAUCACUUAGUGCUUAUAAAGAAUACAGCAAUGGCAUUAUAACCUUCACAGCACAACCGUGUUUCUUGACAGUUACUUGUCACACACAAAUGACACAGGACAAGGACUACUUGCAUCUUGACUCUUUCAGGAUGUCAAAAAGUGCUGAAAUAUUUGCCCUGAUUCUUCAGGACACAGUAUUUUAUACUGCUUUAUCCUUCUGACAGAUUCAAAAUGCCUCUAUUCAGACCAGGGAGUGCUUCAGAAUCAGAAUCUUUUUGAGUUGGAAGGGACCCUUAAAGCUCACCUAAUCUGACACCCCUGCAAUGAACAGGGACACCUAUAGCUACAUGAGGUGCUCAGAGCCCUGUCCAGCCAGAGAUGACUGUAGCAGAACCACCAAACCACUUCAUUCACUUGAUAAGGCUAAUCUCUAACGCUACUGAGUACUUUUCUUCCAAAGAAAUCUACAAAUACACCUUCCAGUCUAAGUAAAACAACCUUCAACAUGAAAAUAUUUAAAAGAGCACCUUCUCCAUGCUUGUCCGUGUAUUGGAAUGCUUGUACCAAACGAAGCGUUUCAUCCACUGAUCUCCCCACAGGAAGGUCAUUCAUGGUGAUCUGUCGAAGGAUUCUCUUAUCGUCAAUUAUGAAAAGGCCCCUAAGUGCAUGUCCUUGAUCUUCCAGAUAUACACCAUAGUCCUUGGAAAUCUGGUGUGUUAAAUCUGAAAGAAGCGGAAUCUUCAUUGGUCCGAGUCCUCCUUGUUUUCGAGGAGUAUUAAUCCUUUGAAAGAAAUGAGACACAAAUGUAUUAUUCAUAACGAUUUAUUUCUCUACACAAAAGUAGAAGCCCCAAACCAGAACAGUUACAGGCAGAAGAAUUUAGUGCAAGUGAUGUUCCUUUUGUUCUGUACACCAGGAAAGUGAAUGCUAUCUCUGUUACCAGUGAUGUGUACAGUAGCUCUUCUGCAGUGUCUGGCCACGUCAAUUAACAGUGACCUCCUUCUUGUCAGCCAUAUUUGCUAUAUACUACUACACCCAACUGGGAGAGCGUACCUCAUUUUUACACAUUUUGGGAUCUGUACCUCAUUUUUAGCAUUUGCAGAAUUUUGGACUGGGACAGGAUAUAUUUCAAGCAAUGCACAUUAAGCAAGCUUCAAAGUCAAGGAUAUUUUCACACAAGAGAGUUAACACAUUUUAUCACUGAAACAUAAUUCCAACAUUUGUAUUGAUAACGUCAUGCUGUUAUGCAUUAUGAUAGACCCACACAAUCUGUAAAGGCUCCUCAGCUCAGAUGGACCCAUGAAUAAGUCUCAGCAGAAGACAAGGAUAAGAUACGUACCAUGCUAAGUGAGUGAACUUGGAGUCCACGGAACAUGCUACUACUUCGGUGUUUAUUGCUCUGAAUUCCUCAAUUCUGUCACUGAAGGCGAUUAUCUCAGUGGGACAUACAAACGUGAAGUCAAGGGGAUAGAAGAAGAAGACAAGAUAUUUUCCUUCAUAAUCUGUUAAUUUCAGCUCUUUAAACUCUCCAUUAAUGACCGCUGUUCCUUCCCAGUAAGGCGCUGGCUUCGAGAUCUUGGCCUGGCUGAGGUGCAGCGAGUGGUCGGUGACGGGCACGCGGGCCGCCUCCCCGGGGUAGACCUGUCCCCCCGCGUAGUAGUGGCACUGCUCGUCCCCGCGCUGCCGCGGCGGCCGCGGCUCCUCCGCCUCCGCCCCCAUCGCCCCGUGCAGCAGCAAGGCCAGCAGCAGCGCGCGGCUCCCGACCCCCGCCCGCGGCCCCCGCCGAGCCGCCUCCAUGGCCCGCCGAUCGAGUGCACGUCCCCGCCGCGCGGCGCGGAGGGGCGGUGGCGGGGAGGAGCUUGGCCGCCCUCCGGCGCCCGUAGGGCCCCGGCAUCGCCUCACGGCGCUGCGCCGCCAGGGGGAGCGGCUCCGCCCCGCCGUGGGACCGCGGGGUCGGUGGUUCUGACCUUGUGGUUGCUUGACCGCCGCAGGGGGUGUGGUGCGUUGUGUACUUCUCUAGAGAGAAAGAAUAAAGAGGUAUUUGGGGAGGGAGAGCGUGCGUGCGGUGCGUGAUUGCAGAAGGGAAC